rnacentral:tRNA from 1 species
AUUUAUAUAGUUUAAAUAAAACAUUACAUUUUCAUUGUAAAAAUAAAAUACAUUUAUUUUUAUAAAUA